rnacentral:tRNA from 1 species
AUUUAUUUAGUAUAUAAGUACAUUUGACUUCCAAUCAAAAAGAUUGAUAGAAUCAAAAUAAAUA